rnacentral:rRNA from 1 species
UACGGGGGGAGCAAGCGUUGUUCGGAUUUACUGGGCGUAAAGGGCGCGUAGGCGGCCACCGCAAGUCGACUGUGAAAUCUCCGGGCUUAACCCGGAACGGUCAGCCGAUACUGCGGGGCUAGAGUGCAGAAGGGGCAACUGGAAUUCUCGGUGUAGCGGUGAAAUGCGUAGAUAUCAGGAGGAACACCGGUGGCGAAGGCGGGUCUCUGGGCAGUAACUGACGCUGAGGAGCGAAAGCGUGGGGAGCGAACAGG